UAGCUCAGUUGGUAGAGCAUGGUGCUUGUAACCUAGAGUAGUGGGUUCAAUUCCCAC
rnacentral:tRNA from 1 species